rnacentral:rRNA from 1 species
CUUGAACGCUGGCGGCAGGCUUAACACAUGCAAGUCGAGCGAGCGGCGGACGGGUGAGUAAUGUCUGGGAAACUGCCUGAUGGAGGGAGCUAACUACUGGAAAAGGUAGCUAAUACAGCAUACCAUCAGAUGGGCCUAGAUGGGAUUAGCUAGUAGGUGGGGUAAUGGCUCACCUAGUCGAAGAUCCAUAGCUGGUCUGAGAGGAGGACCAGCCACACUGGAACUGAGACACGGUCCAGACUCCUACGUGAGGCAGCAGUGGGGAAUAUUGCACAAUGGGCGCAAGCCUGAUGCAGCCAUGCCGCGUGUGUGAAGAAGUCCUUCGGGUUGUAAAGCACUUUCAGCGAGGAGGCGUUACUCGCAGAAGAAGCACCGGCUAACUCCGUGCCAGCAGCCGCGGUAAUUC